GUGAGGAAUAUUGGUCAAUGGGCGAAAGCCUGAACCAGCCAUGUCGCGUGAAGGAUGAAGGUCCUAUGGAUUGUAAACUUCUUUUGCAGGAGGGUAAAGUGAGCUACGUGUAGUUCAUUGCAAGUACCCUGCGAAUAAGCAUCGGCUAACUCCGUGCCAGCAGCCGCGGUAAUACGGAGGAUGCGAGCGUUAUCCGGAUUUAUUGGGUUUAAAGGGUGCGUAGGCGGACUAAUUAGUCAGCGGUGAAAUUUUGCGGCUCAACCGUAAAACUGCCGUUGAAACUGUGAGUCUUGAGUGCGGUAGAGGUAGGCGGAAUGUGUGGUGUAGCGGUGAAAUGCUUAGAUAUCACACAGAACACCGAUUGCGUAGGCAGCUUACUGGAGCGCAACUGACGCUGAGGCACGAAAGCGUGGGGAUCGAACAGGAUUAGAAACCCCUGUAGUCC
rnacentral:rRNA from 1 species